CACACAAUAUGGAAAUGCAGUGACGUCACCUCCUGUUGUGUGACAUCUCCUACAUAAUAAGCCAGUGCUGGUGGAUCACACAUCACCUCCUAGAAGUCACCCAGCAGCCAUGAAGACUUUCCUGCUCCUCUUUCUAUCACUGGCCUGCUUGUCAGGUGUCCAGUCUCAAGCACAACUUGUCCAGUCAUCAGACCCAGUGGUGAUAAAGCCUGGGAAUUCCCAUAAACUCUCAUGUAAAGCGUCUGGCUUCACCUUCAGCAGCUAUGAUAUGAACUGGGUUAGACAGAGUCCUGGCGGAGGAUUACAGUGGAUGGGAUAUAUUAGCUCUGGUGGUGGCAGCACAAGCUAUGAUGAUUCUGUUAAAGGACGAUUCACAAUCUCCAGAGAUAACAGUAAUAACAUGGUAUAUCUACAAAUGGACAAUGUGAAGACUGAGGACACUGCCGUCUAUUACUGUGCUAGAUACACACUGAUAGAAGACAAUGUCUGA